UUUCCGUAGGUGAACCUGCGGAAGGAUCAUUAUUGUAUAACCGAGGUGCGAGGGCUGUCGCUGACCCGUCAGAUCGUGCACGCCCGAGUGCCCUCACACACAUACAUCUGACCCCUAUGUUCACCACCGCGAGGGUUCCCCUUUCGCUUGUUCGGAGAGGGGCUUACGUGUUCGCACAAACAUUGUAUGCAGUGUAGAAUGUAUUUUUCGUUUUAGCGAUCACGCAAUAAAUACAACUUUCAACAACGGAUCUCUUGGCUCUC
rnacentral:misc_RNA from 1 species